CCCUUAGAUGUUCUGGGCUGCACGCGUGCUACACUGAUAUUGCCAAUAUGUCAUUCUUAUCCGAAAUGGAUUGGGUAAUCAAGUAAUGAAAUUUCAUGCUUGGAAUCGGUAAUUGCAAUUUUAUCGUGAACGAGGAAUUCCUAGUAAGCACUAGUCAUCAGCUAAUGUUGAUUAUGGCCCUGCCCUUUGUACACACCGCCCGUCGCUACUACUGAUUGGGUGUUCAAGUGAGAUGCUUAGACCCUUGUUGCAUGGUUCAUUAUUGUGCUCCGAAAGGAAAAAGUUUCAAGCUUGAGUGUCUAGAGGAAGUAAAAGUCGUAACA
rnacentral:rRNA from 1 species